UCGAUGGGAAACAGGUUAAUAUUCCUGUACUUGGUGUUACUGCGAAGGGGGGACGGAGAAGGCUAGGCUAGCCGGGCGACGGUUGUCCCGGUUUAAGCGUGUAGGGGGUGUGACCUGGUAAAUCCGGUUACAUAUCAACCCUGAGGCGUGAUGACGAUGCACUACGGUGCAGAAGUAGUUGAUGCCCUGCUUCCAGGAAAAGCCUCUAAGCUCCAGGUAACAUUGAAUCGUACCCCAAACCGACACAGGCGGUCAGGUAGAGUAUACCAAGGCUCUUGAGAGAACUAUGUUGAAG
rnacentral:rRNA from 1 species